rnacentral:rRNA from 1 species
GACGAACGCUGGCGGCGUGCUUAACACAUGCAAGUCGAACGGAAAGGCCCUGCUUUUGUGGGGUGCUCGAGUGGCGAACGGGUGAGUAACACGUGAGUAACCUGCCCUUGACUUUGGGAUAACUUCAGGAAACUGGGGCUAAUACCGGAUAGGAGCUCCUGCUGCAUGGUGGGGGUUGGAAAGUUUCGGCGGUUGGGGAUGGACUCGCGGCUUAUCAGCUUGUUGGUGGGGUAGUGGCUGACCAAGGCUUUGACGGGUAGCCGGCCUGGGAGGGUGACCGGCCACAUUGGGACUGAGAUACGGCCCAGACUCCUACGGGAGGCAGCAGUGGGGAAUAUUGCGCAAUGGGCGGAAGCCUGAUGCAGCAACGCCGCGUGCGGGAUGACGGCCUUCGGGUUGUAAACCGCUUUCGCCUGUGACGAAGCGUGAGUGACGGUAAUGGGUAAAGAAGCACCGGCUAACUACGUG